AAAAAAACUUUACUAGGGUUCCCGUUUCUCUCUUGAUCCUAAUCAUAUAUUCAAAAAAAUCCUUCAUAACUCACAUGUCGGAGGUGAAGAACAAGUUUCUCAGAAAUGGCUCACAGGGCCGUUGGUAGAGCUCUUCCAUCGGAGACUGAUGAACAUCCCAAGCUUUGGGCUAUCAAUGUAGAUAGCCAAGCAUCAACCAGUAAAACUAUCACAUUUGAAAAAGAAGUUGGCGAGACUCGGAACUGGCUGGAAGAACUGCCACACGAUGUCAUGGUGGCGAUACUACAAAAGGUUGGGGUCAUUGAUAUACUGAAGAAUGUUCAGCUUGUGUGCGCCUCAUGGCAUGAAAUCUGCAAAGACCCUGCAUUGUGGCGGUCCAUUACUAUACUAUAUUUGAGAUGUACGACAUAAUCAAGCAAGCAAUUGAUCGGAGUUGUGGCCAGUUGAUUGAUAUCAACUUCAAGCAUGACUGCAAUCACGAUAUCCUCAAAUACAUUACUGACAGGAAAAAUCAGGUGAGACGUCUUAAACUUGUUUCGUGCUGGAACAUUACAAAUGAUAAAAGUUAAGUGAAGCUGCUAAAAUGAUGCCAGCCAUGGAAGAACUCCAUCUUCAUUUUGGGAACAUCACAGAAGUAGGUCUUGAAAAUGUUGGGCGCAGCUGCCCGGGUCUGAAAUCACUCACACAUAAUCGACAUACUGCACUCAUCAAUGUGGAUGAUCCAAAUUCCGAAGCACUUGCUAUCUCAAGAACUAUGCCUCAGUUGCGUCACCUGAGCCUUAUUGGGAAUUCCAUCACUAACACAGGUUUGCAAGCCAUUCUAGAUGCUUGCCCUCAUCUUGAAUCACUUGAUCUUAGGCAGUGUAAUAAAGUUGACCUGUCUGGUGAGUUGGGUAAAAAAUGUUCUUCUAUAAAGACAUUCCACCACCCCAAUGAGUUUAUCGCUGAAUUUGACUCUGAAUCCAAUGAGGGAGGUACAUUCUUCUUCUUUCUCGAUGACUCCUACUACUCCGACUUCCAACACGAUGAUAAUGAUCAUGGCAAUAACGAUGAUUUCAAUUAGACUACUACAACUCCCAUGAAUACCGCCUUUCUUAAUUUACGACUAUGAAGGUUUCUUAUAUUAAUCCCUUAUAAAGGCAAAAUAACUAUUUGAUAUAUGUUUCAUGUCAUCUUUUUGUCUGCACUUGGAUGCAUAUUUUUGAUCUUGACUUUAAUGAAAACUCUAAUUAAGUGGUAGUGUUAUUA